AGGAGGAACAGCCCCAGUGGCGGGGCAGCUCUGGAAACCUGGAUUCAGCCCCCGCAGGAACUCCGGAGCUCUCGGUCUGCAGGGCCUGGAGGCUCCGGGGCGGG
rfam:Canis lupus familiaris chromosome 25, whole genome shotgun sequence.